rnacentral:rRNA from 1 species
GAUGAACGCUGGCGGCGUGCCUAAUACAUGCAAGUCGAGCGAACGGACGAGAAGCUUGCUUCUCUGUCGUUAGCGGCGGACGGGUGAGUAACACGUGGAUAACCUACCUAUCAGACUGGGAUCACUUCGGGAAACCGGCUCUAAUACCGGAUGAUAUUUUGAACCGCAUGGUUCAAAAGUGAAAGACGGUCUUUCUGUCACUUCUAGAUGGAUACGCGCUGCAUUAGCUAGUUGGUAAGGUAACGGCUUACCACGGCGACGAUGCAUAGCCGACGUGAGAGGGUGAUCGGCCACACUGGAGCUGAGACACGCUCCAGACUCCUACGGGAGGCAGCAGUAGGGAAUCUUCCGCAGAGGGCGAAAGCCUGACGGAGCAACGCCGCGUGAGUGAUGAAGGUCUUCGGAGCGUAAAGCUCUGUUAUUAGGGAAGAACAUAUGUGUAAGUAACUGUGCAGAUCUUGACGGUACCUAAUCAGAAAGCCACGGCUAACUACGUG